rnacentral:lncRNA from 1 species
GCAUCUUGUGUCUAUAAAAUGAGCUGCUCGUUAUGCAUAGAUAAUCCUUUCUACUGCAGUUUUUUUGAAAGAUAUAACGUUAGCCAUGGAGGACUGCAAAUAUGUUGCUACUGCUCUCAAUAACAUUCUUGCUCUGAAUUUAUCAGGCGCUAUCGACAAAGCCGGUCAGUGGGAAAAAGUUGUGGUGGACUACUUUCUGGAGGACUCUCUUUGACUCUGAAAAUGAAUGAGACAACGAGGUAAUCCCUGAUUUAGGUAAAAACAUUUUCAUUGAAGAAGACAUUGUAGCGUCUUCUGAUGACAGUGAUGGGGAAGAAACGGCGAUCAACAGUGGGAUGAAGUUGACAGUUUUGAAAUCAGUGGACUGUCUGUGCAAACUAAACAGAAACGACACAGGACGUCUUAUUUAAUGAAAUGGGUUGCAGUCUGCCAUGAAGUUUUCAUCCAUGUAUACGGUAGAACAUGCCUGACUCUCCUCCACCAGUCAUACAAGGAGAAUGGUCUAAUACCUCCCAUCAAAAAGAGACACAAGCACUUUGGUGGACGGUUCUGCCAUCCUAUGUGACAAAAGCAGCAGUGUGGCGUCUCUACACGAAAUCGAUGACAACAUUUGGUUCCUGUCUUCCUUCAGGAAUCUGUGAAGAAAAUUGCUGCCCCACAUCUCAAGCACUAAGCCCAGGACAGACCUGUGCUGGCAGUGCCAGAAGAACAACUAUUAGGUCUUUAGAUCUCCCAAUCUGCCAGACACUGUUAAGUCAGCCAAGCUGAAGAAGCAAGAGCAGUAUCUCCUGCUUGUUCAGAGUGAGUGGUUUGUCUUCAAGAAGAUGGUUGCUGAAUGCAAGACCACCUGUCAAGAUCUGCAGUUGUCUCUGGGGGCCCCUACUGAACCAGCAAGCAAAGACAUCAGGAUGCAUUACAGCUUUGAUUUUGCUCAACAAGUAAGUAACAUUUCCUCCUGUAUACUAAUUGAGGACGUUGAUGGAUA